AGGAUGAACGCUGGCGGCGUGCUUAACACAUGCAAGUCGAACGAUGAAGGCUGGAGCUUGCUCUGGCUGGAUUAGUGGCGAACGGGUGAGUAACACGUGAGUAACCUGCCCCAGACUCUGGGAUAAGCGCUGGAAACGGCGUCUAAUACCGGAUACGAGCUUCCACCGCAUGGUGAGGAGCUGGAAAGAAUUUCGGUCUGGGAUGGACUCGCGGCCUAUCAGCUUGUUGGUGAGGUAAUGGCUCACCAAGGCGACGACGGGUAGCCGGCCUGAGAGGGUGACCGGCCACGACUGGGACUGAGACACGGCCCAGACUCCGUACGGGAGCAGGCAGUGGGGAAUAUGCACAAGUGGGCGCAAGCCUGAUGCAGC
rnacentral:rRNA from 1 species